rnacentral:rRNA from 1 species
CCUACGGGUGGCAGCAGUGGGGAAUAUUGCACAAUGGGGGAAACCCUGAUGCAGCAACGCCGCGUGAGUGAAGAAGGUUUUCGGAUUGGAAAGCUCUGUUAGCAGGGAAGAGGAAGGACGGUACCUGCAGAGGAAGCCACGGCUAACUACGUGCGAGCAGCCGCGGUAAUACGUAGGAGGCAAGCGUUGUUCGGAAUAACUGGGCGUAAAGGAUGCGUAGGCGUUUAAACAAGUUACAGGUUAAAUAUAUAGGCUUAACCUGUAGAAAGAAUGUAAAACUGUUUAACUAGAGUUCAGGAGAGGUAAGUGGAAUUCCUAGUGUAGCGGUGAAAUGCAUAGAGAUUAGGAAGAACUCCAGUGGCGAAGGCGACUUACUGGCCUGUAACUGACGCUGAGGCAUGAGAGCAUGGGGAUCAAACAGGAUUAGAUACCCUUGUAGUC